GCAGUCGUGGCCGAGUGGUUAAGGCGAUUGACUAGAAAUCCAUUGGGGUCUCCUAACACAGGUUCGAAUCCCGUCGACUGCG
rnacentral:tRNA from 1 species